GCCAAUUGCAGGAAUAUCAGACGUCAAGGAGAUGUUCCAGCUAAUAUUGUCUCACAGAUACUUUACAUUCAAUGGGAAAGUUGACCAACAGUAUGAUGGUCUUGCCAUGGGCAGCAGCAUAUCAAUUUUUCUGGCAGACAUAUUUCUCAAUCAUCUGGAAAUGCUACAGAACAAUAAAUCAUUCACUUCACCUUCGCCUAGAAAGAUAGUGAGCGAUGUACGGUACCAUUGUUUUCAAAAUGGAAAGAAAGGACAAUGCCUCAACAGUCAGCAGAAAAUUUCCACGCCUUCUGGUUCAUCAUCAAACGUGAAGAGAUAUCUAAAAUCGAAGCAUUCUACAGUAUCUCUGGAACGAUGUGCGUCAGGAGGCCAUCAAUUGAUGCAGAAAUUCGAGAAACCACUUCUCGCGAACCAUCGUCACUGACAUCUGCUUCCACCUCGUAUGACGUUUCGUCGAGUGGCAGAAAAGAGUGAAGCUCAAGAGGCGAGUGCGUAUUGCCGAGCGCAACUGGGUCGACAGGUACGAGGCGAGGCUCAACAGCAUUUGUAAUUGUGUAAGUUAUGAAAGAGCUCUGACGUCAGAGGGAGAGAGAGAAGAGAGAGAGAGAUAGAAGAAGGGGGCGGGGGCGGGAAGCAGCUAUGCGUUGUCCCGAGGCCGAGUACGUGUCACUCGGUGGCACUGCCUCGGUGGCCAAUUAGCGAGCGUGGGACUCUUGAUUACUCUCUCCCAGUGCAGUCGAGACAUGACGCCGAACUUGGAAGUUUUCGUGUUUUCAAGAGUUUUUACGCUGUUUUCUGAAGCGUAUGCCACGAAGAUGA